UCUUCCGUGUAUUUGUACGGCGUCGCACAAGUACAAGAUACAUAAACGGAUACAACCACUAUAACUGAAUAUACAAACUUUCAACAUUCAUACACCAUUCACCAACCGAUUCACAUUCAAAGUUUGUUCGGAAAUCUAUAACUAUUAGUUUAAAAUGUUUCCUAUUCGGAAACUCAUUUUGAAAUACUAAUUUAUAAAAACCACGAGAAAACCUUUUCAAAACCAUUUCCCACACGGAAACCCUUUUUCAUUAAAACACGCUACCACGAGGGGGAAAAGACCGUUUUCAUCUCAAAGAAAACCAUAAGUUCUUUAAUUCAUUUACCAAAAUCACAUUUAUCCAGGUAAACAAAAACUAACUGAACCAAUAUACCUAAGUCAUAUCAUCAGGAAUAAAGAAGAUAGCAACUAAACCAAACAAACCAGGUCGGAAGCUCUAUCGACCGCUACGAACGUGUCUCACGUCUCAUCUCAACCCUCACUGCCCGCAAUACCUGAAAAA
rnacentral:lncRNA from 1 species